GUUCCAGUCCCUGGACAUGUGCAUAGGAAAGGGAUGGACAGAUGUUAUUUUGAUUGAAUGAUGCGUGCGCACAACUGUCAAAAAGAAGAAGAAGACGGAAUCUGCAGAGAAGUCUAAGCAAAUUUCUGGUUGUGAAAAACAAAUGGAGUUCAAGCGGAGUCGCCGGUAUAUCUAUUUCAUUCGGACGCAGAUGUUUCCAUGCUGAACACGUUCAAGAUAUGCUUGCUGAUUAGCAAAAACUGUCGUGAUACGUUCAAUUCUCGAAGUCUUGUUGGAAUCAUAAACUGCGAAAAGCUGACAAUAUUUUAUUAAAAGUUGUAAUUCUCGCUUU